AGUUUGAUCCUGGCUCAGGAUGAACGCUGGCGGCGUGCGUAACACAUGCAAGUUGAACGACGAUGCCAUGAAGUGGUAACACGGAGUGGUAUACGGAGUAGCGGACGGGUGAGUAAAGCAUGAGAAUCUGUCCUGCCGAGGGGGAUAACGUUCGGAAACGGACCCUAAUACCCCAUAGUCCGAGAGGUUAAAGGCAGCGAUGCGCGGCAGGAGGAGCUCGUGCCCUAUCAGCUAGUUGGUGAGGUAACGGCUCACCAAGGCUUCGACGGGUAGCCGGCCUGAGAGGGUGACCGGCCACACUGGAACUGAGACACGGUCCAGACUCCUACGGGAGGCAGCAGUGGGGAAUAUUGGGCAAUGGGAGGAAUCCUGACCCAGCGACGCCGCGUGAACGAAGACGGCCUUCGGGUUGUAAAGUUCUUUUAUGUGGAAAGAAUAAAGUGACGGUACCACAUGAAUAAGCCCCGGCUAACUACGUGCCAGCAGCCGCGGUAAUACGUAGGGGGCGAGCGUUGUCCGGAAUUACUGGGCGUAAAGGGCACGCAGGCUGUGCUUCAAGUCAGCCGUAAAAGGAUGCGGCUUAACCGUGUUAUGCGACUGAGACUGAGGUGCUGGAGUACCGGAGAGGCAAGUGGAAUUCCCAGUGUAGCGGUGAAAUGCGUAGAUAUUGGGAAGAACAUCGGUGGCGAAGGCGACUUGCUGGACGGUAACUGACGCUGAGGUGCGAAAGCC
rnacentral:rRNA from 1 species